GAUGAACGCUGGCGGCGUGCCUAAUACAUGCAAGUCGAGCGAACGGACGAGAAGCUUGCUUCUCUGAUGUUAGCGGCGGACGGGUGAGUAACACGUGGAUAACCUACCUAUAAGACUGGGAUAACUUCGGGAAACCGAAGCUAAUACCGGAUAAUAUUUUGAACCGCAUGGUUCAAAAGUAAAAGACGGUCUUGCUGUCACUUAUAGAUGGAUCCGCGCUGCAUUAGCUAGUUGGUAAGGUAACGGCUUACCAAGGCAACGAUGCAUAGCCGACCUGAGAGGGUGAUCGGCCACACUGGAACUGAGACACGGUCCAGACUCCUACGGGAGGCAGCAGUAGGGAAUCUUCCGCAAUGGGCGAAAGCCUGACGGAGCAACGCCGCGUGAGUGAUGAAGGUCUUCGGAUCGUAAAACUCUGUUAUUAGGGAAGAACAUAUGUGUAAGUAACUGUGCACAUCUUGACGGUACCUAAUCAGAAAGCCACGGCUAACUACGUG
rnacentral:rRNA from 1 species